UCGAGAAUCUUCGGCAAUGGGGGCAACCCUGACCGAGCGACGCCGCGUGCGAGAUGAAGGCCUUCGGGUUGUAAAUCGCUGUCAGUGGGGAGGAAAUAUUGGUGGGUUCUCCCAUCAAUUUGACCUAUCCGCAGAGGAAGGACGGGCUAAGUUCGUGCCAGCAGCCGCGGUAAGACGAACCGUCCAAACGUUAUUCGGAAUCACUGGGCUUAAAGGGUGCGUAGGCGGCUCGACAAGUUGGGUGUGAAAGCCCUCGGCUCAACCGAGGAACUGCGUCCAAAACUGUUGGGCUUGAGGAAGACAGAGGUGAGCGGAACUUAGGGUGGAGCGGUGAAAUGCGUUGAUAUCCUAGGGAACACCAGUAGCGAAAGCGGCUCACUGGGUCUUUUCUGACGCUGAUGCACGAAAGCUAGGGGAGCGAAGAG
rnacentral:rRNA from 1 species